UACGAAGGGGGCUAGCGUUGCUCGGAUUGACUGGGCGUAAAGGGCGCGUAGGCGGUUCGUACAGUCAGACGUGAAAUUCCUGGGCUCAACCUGGGGGCUGCGUUUGAUACGUGCGGACUUGAGUGCGGAAGAGGGUCGUGGAAUUCCCAGUGUAGAGGUGAAAUUCGUAGAUAUUGGGAAGAACACCGGUGGCGAAGGCGGCGUCCUGGACCAAUACUGACACUGAGGAGCGAAAGCCAGGGGAGCAAACGGG
rnacentral:rRNA from 1 species